rnacentral:rRNA from 1 species
GUGGGGAAUAUUGGACAAUGGGCGCAAGCCUGAUCCAGCCAUGCCGCGUGCAGGAAGACGCAUCUAUGGUGUGUAAACUGCUUUUGUACGGGAAGAAACACUCCCUCGUGAGGGAGCUUGACGGUACCGUAAGAAUAAGGAUCGGCUAACUCCGUGCCAGCAGCCGCGGUAAUACGGAGGAUCCAAGCGUUAUCCGGAAUCAUUGGGUUUAAAGGGUCCGUAGGCGGUUUAAUAAGUCAGUGGUGAAAGCCCAUCGCUCAACGAUGGAACGGCCAUUGAUACUGUUAGACUUGAAUUACAAGGAAGUAACUAGAAUAUGUAGUGUAGCGGUGAAAUGCUUAGAUAUUACAUGGAAUACCAAUUGCGAAGGCAGGUUACUACUUGUGGAUUGACGCUGAUGGACGAAAGCGUGGGGAGCGAACAGGAUUAGAUACCCGGGUAGUCC